rnacentral:rRNA from 1 species
UGCCAGCCGCCGCGGUAAUACGAGAGACCCGAGCGUUAAUCGGAAUCACUGGGCUUAAAGGGUGCGCAGGCGGAUCUGUAAGCGUCUUGUGAAAUCCCACGGCUCAACCGUGGAAUUGCAGGGCGAACUGCAGAUCUUGAGGCAGGUAGAGGUCGUCGGAACGUUCGGUGGAGCGGUGAAAUGCGUAGAUAUCGAACGGAACGCCGAAGGAGAAGUCAGACGACUGGGCCUGUCCUGACGCUCAGGCACGAAAGCGUGGGGAUCAAACAGGAUUAGAUA